rnacentral:rRNA from 1 species
UACGGAGGGUGCGAGCGUUAAUCGGAAUAACUGGGCGUAAAGCGCACGCAGGCGGGCUUUUAAGUGAGGUGUGAAAUCCCCGGGCUUAACCUGGGAAUAGCAUUUGAGACUGGGAGGCUAGAGUACUUUAGGGGGGGGUAGAAUUCCACGUGUAGCGGUGAAAUGCGUAGAGAUGUGGAGGAAUACCGGUGGCGAAGGCGACUUACUGGACUAAUACUGACGCUGAGGAGCGAAAGCGUGGGGAGCAAACAGG